rnacentral:rRNA from 1 species
UACGGAGGGGGCUAGCGUUGUUCGGAAUUACUGGGCGUAAAGCGCACGUAGGCGGCUUUGUAAGUUAGAGGUGAAAGCCCGGGGCUCAACUCCGGAAUUGCCUUUAAGACUGCAUCGCUAGAAUUGUGGAGAGGUAAGUGGAAUUCCGAGUGUAGAGGUGAAAUUCGUAGAUAUUCGGAAGAACACCAGUGGCGAAGGCGCUGGGCUGGACGGUUAUUGACGCUGAGGUGCGAAAGCGUGGGGAGCAAACAGG